ensembl:lncRNA
CUACGCCUUUCGAACAAGAAAGUGAAUGAAAAAAUCUUCAAGUUCACUGACUAUUAUAUUAUAGACUUAGGCAAUGGAUACUUGUGGCAACACUGGCUAACUAAAUGCUGACAAACUGAUUAGGUAACAGUCAACUCACGCCAUGGCUCAAGAGUUUCGGGAAGGAGACUUGUAUCAUAUCGAGGAUCAUUCUGAAGUCACAUGCAAUAGUGGUUCAAUCAAAACAACUUCUCUGUGGUUUGGGAAUCUUGAGCUACUCACUGCCCUGUGGUCUGGUCUCACCACGGACUCCCUGACUGACUCACCGCUUCACAGACAUUAGGAGAUGAUUGUUAGAAGGGCAAAACUUCAGAGAAUAUCCCGGCGACCUGUGCUCCCAGUACAGUAAAGUGGAGAAGGAAGUAACAUCACCAGAAAGCAGCAAGCUGCCAGACCACCAAAGGACCCUGGAGGUAAUCUUAGGUUUCAUUACACACGGUCGGGAGGAACUACUGAAUAUAAGAGCAACGUCAACUCACCAUCAUUACGACCAGGAAUAUGACUCUCCCG